GCAGGCAGUAAAAGUGAGAUGCCACUGAACUUGAGCCUUGAGCUAACUUACAUGGAGUUUGAGUACAAGAUCAAUCCAGACUGCUAUGUUUAUUAUCCCAGGAAUUUUAUAAGGGCAAAUCUGCUUACCUGCAAGCCACUGGAAGGACCCAGGUGGUGAUAUUCCAGGGAUCCAGCCCCUGGCUCCCUGAUGCUCAGUUCUUUCUGCCUGUGAUGAAAGAUUUCAGGCAAGAUGCAGAGACUGCCAUGCAGAAGGACAGAGAGAGUUCGUUGUAAAGACACAGAGAGAUGUACGCCUUCAAGCAAGAACAUGAGAUAAAGGAAGAAAAACGCAGGCGCUCCCCCUCAUGCCUCCUUCGCCCAGCCUGUUGCUGUCCCUCCUGGUUCUCUUGUGGUGAAUGUGGUACCCAAGUGCACCCAAGUGCUGGUAAGAGCAAGACAGAUCAUCGAAACGCAGAGGCAGCUCUUCUCCCACUGCAACAUUUGUUCUGCCACUUGCACGUUUCAUAUCUUGUUAGUUCUAGAGUCUCAUUUAUAAUUUGUCUUUUCCCAUUAGGUUGAAAACUGACGAGGAUGGAAUUAGAUGGUUCUUAAAUUCUGCUCCCUGCAAUCCUGGAUACUCCACUGGUCCAAAAGGCCCAAUCGAGGGGACAGGAGCAGCUCCAGCUCCCCUAAAUCCAUAAUCAUGAUUCCAUGACUUAUGUUCCAAAGAAAAGAAAAAAAAAAAAAAACCUGUCUAUCAAUCAAUAUCCAUACUCCUGGAGUUAUGUCCUACUUCGUAUUGUCUUGGGAAGCACCUCAAGUGGUAUACUGACUAUAACACAAGCUGACAACCUCAAUAAAUGUCAGUUGUUGUGUAUUUGCCUUGUGUUACCUACUGUUUCUAUAAUCAUUUCUCACUUUGCAUAAGAACUGUCUCAUGGACCACAAUCCUUUUGCAAAAGUUAACCAUUAAUUUAUAAUUCACACAAAUGUACAUUUUCAUAUAUUUGAUAUGCUUAAAACAUAUCUAUACUGGUACAUUUAGGGAACAGAGACAAAACAGAUCAUCACUGCAAAGGAGAGAUGAGUCAAGUAAUAUUAAAUCUCUGUGUCAGUAACUUCUUUGCUCAGGCAUUUGUAUUGUCCCUACAAUCCCUAACUAGUCACUUAUCAGGCACUUGUGCAUGUAAAUACCCAAGAAUUUGUAUUCUCCCAUUUGUAUUCUUCAUUAUAGGCCAUAGACGCCUGUACCUCAAGCCUUCUCAAAUCAGACAACCUUGAUUUUGACUGAGGCCCAAUUCCUAUCAAAAGCCUAUUUUCUCCUUUAUUUUUAAAAUUAAUCUUUUAAUUGGCAAAUAAAAUUGUAUAUAUUUGUGGUGUGGAAUAUGAUGCUUUGAAAUAUGUGUGUGUGGUGGAAUGGCAAAUUGAGUUAACAUAUGCACUACCUCACACAUUACCAUCUUCCCAAGGGAGGGCACAGAAUCUCCUGACUUUCAAUUAUACAACCCACUGUCAUUAGCUACAGUCACCAUGGUGUAUCUUUUGACCAACAUCUCUCUAAUCCCCAUCCCUGGGCCCUGGUAACCACUAGUCUACUUUCUGCUUCUGGGAGUUUCAACUUUCUUAGAUUACACAUGUAAGUAGAAUCAGGAAGUGUUCGUUUUUCUGCAUUUGGCUUGUUACUCUUAAUGUAAUGUCCUUAUCCAUGUUAUUGCAAAUCACAGAAUUUUUUUCAAAAGUUACAGUGAUGGAAGGCAAUAGAUUCAUUUCUAUACAUCUCCCUAAGUCAUAUGUUGAAUUACAUUAAACCAUCAGAAAAAAAGCACACAAGGAUCUUACUAUCUGUCCCACUAUUAUUUCAUAAACUUUCAUCAAAGGCUACUAUAACAAAGAAU
rnacentral:lncRNA from 1 species